UCUUUCACCAGCAUCUGCUGU
rnacentral:misc_RNA from 1 species